CAUAGGCCUUGGGAAGCAGUCAAGACAUGCCAGCGAGGCAGCUCUUUGGCAGAAUUAAUGCUUUCAUAAGUGGUUGCUCUUAACUUGGAAUCAUUACAAAGUACAUGCUAUAAGGAACUCAAAAGAUGUUUAGUGCUAACCUUGAACGUGAGUCUCAGGGUGUGGGGUCAAAGAAACAAUGCUAAUUUUGGAGGCAGUGCUUGUGGGUAUGGUUAGAGAGGAUAGGAAGAGGUUUGGCCAGUGUGCAGGCUGCAAGGUUCACAGGAGCCAGAAGAACACAGGAUUUGUUGCAGGCGACCAAGUUUCUAUUCUGGGUUCAUCCCAGGGACUCACUGGGUGACCUUGGGCCUGUCACAUCCCCUCGGCAUUGCUGCCUCUCCAUCUGUGAAAUAAAGGUAGCAGUGUCUGUCUCACAAGCCCUCCCGGAGAGGGGAAGAUUAAUGAGGCGAAGUUUGCAAAGUGUGUAGGACUCCGGGAGACGAAGGGCAGAGAGAGGCACAAAGUUAUGGUACCAACUUCCUCCUCCCCACACAUUCACAGUGCCACUUCUUUUGCCUUUGAAAAGUAGAGUAAAACCUUGGUACUCCAAGGGAAGGCUACAGACCCACAGCAGUAGCUUGAAGUGGAGCUGAUAAGAAAUGCAAACUCUUGGGUCCUCCUCAGUUUCUCCAACCAGACCAGUUAGCAAUGGAGCCCAGUUACUUGCCUUUCCAGCACUGACUGAUGUCUGCUAAGGGUUGUAAACAUAACAUAAGGUAAUAAUGCAAUGGGCAUACUAGGUCUAUCCAGUUUCCAUCAAGCUUACAUUCUAAUGGUAGACAGGGUGGUAGAAACAAAGAAAAUAUUUAGGGCCAAGCAGAUGGCUCAGUGGGUACGGGAGCUCCCUACACAAGCCUGAGGACCUGGGGUCAGAUCUCCAGAAAGCACAGAGAGAUGAACGUAUCACUGUGAGUCUGUAAUUGAGUAGCCCCCGUGGUGAGAAGGGGGUGCAGACACGGGAAUACCCAGAAGCUUGCAGGCCAGCCAGCCUGGAGUACACAGUAAUGAUGCCCACAAAAAUGUCCCUGUCUUAUGUAAUACAUGUGCAAAGCAAGGACUGGCCUCCAAGCUGUUCUUUAACCUUUAGGUGUCGUCCCCCCUCACCUUCUUCUCUUCUCUCCUCUCCCUUCCCCUCUCCUGACCCAUCAUAGAUAAGGAACACACACAUAUAAAGAUAAACAGUGAUAGUGCAACUGAGAAAGAUGAAGAUAAGCCCUGUCUUGGCCACUUACACAACCUAAGCAAAUUAUUUUCUACCUGUUGACUCAAAUUGUUUUAUCUAUGGAGUGAUAUCAAUGAAAAUAGUUGUGAAGGAUGGGCUCUCACCCUCGAGCUCAGGGAGAGGCCAUCCUGAGUACCAGACUACUGGGACUCACCUUACUGGGUCCCAUCUGUAUACUUAAACAGAGCAUCCAUGUAAGGCUGGGAAGCAGCUUAGUUGGUUAAGAAUGAGAACUCAGCUGAAGAUGAAGAAGUGGAUGCUCACAGUCAGCUAUCAGAUGGGUAACACGGCCCCCAAUGGAGGAGCUAGAGAAAGUACCCAAGGAGCUAAAAGGAACUGCAACCCUAUAGGUGGAACAACAAUAUGAACUAACCAGUACCCCGGAGCUCUUGUCUUUAGCUGCAUAUGUAUCAAAAGAUGGCCUAGUCAACCAUCACUGGAAAGAGAGGCCCAUUGGACACGCAAACUUUAUAUGCCCCAGUACAGGAGAACACCAGGGCCAAAAAGGGGGAGUGGGUGGGUAGGGGAUUGGGGAGGGGGGUGGGUAUGGGGGACUUUUGGGAUAGCAUUGGAAAUGUAAACGAGGAAAAUACCUAAUUAAAAAAAAAAAAGAAUGAGAACCCGGAGGCUGAGACAGGUAGAUCCAUGGGGUUCGCUGGCCGUGUAGCUUAAUUUUCUUGGUGAGGUCCUGGCCAGUGAGAGACCUUGUCUCAAAAAGAAGGCACAUGGAACCUCACAGUGACACCUGAGGGUGCUCUCUGACCUCAAAGCAUAUGUCACCUGCACAAACAAGUCAACACAUGCCCACACAAAAGCAAGUGAUGAUGUGCUGUUCUAAGGCCAAUAACUUGAGUGAAAUUUCCCUAGAGACACCAAAGCUUUAAUAUUCCUUCCAACUUGGCAAGGGACGCUGUUCAAAUACAAGGGCUGUUUCAGUAGAACUGAGAAUAGGCCUUCUGUCUACUCUUUCACAUGUGUGGCAAGGCUAACACACUGAGCAAUAAAGUUAGCAAAUAUGACACAUAAUGGGUCAGCAGAUGCAUAGUAUGUUACAAUGCUCUUUACCCAGCUCUUACCAUUGGCAUGAUGAGGAGACAGGGAUAGCCCAUGAGUGGCUCAGGGAUUGAGCAGCCUUUUGGAUAAACUGUAAUAUUGCUGAUGCUACUGCAAUGGAAAGAGAAUGACUCAUGUAUUCAAGGAGAUUCUUUGCCAAUGAUUCCUAUUUUCCUCCAGGGACAGAGUAGAGGCAGAGGAUUCACAAAGCCAUGUUUCUUCUGGAACUCCCAAAGUGUUGCUUAAACUGUACCUCAAGCAGAAGUGUGGAACACAAUCCUAAGCGAGUGUGAUCACGGCCCCACAGAACCCCAGGCACCUUUGAGCAUGGCAUGGGUAAGGAAACGGAGCAUGGGUAAAGAAACAUACACUGGGAAGAAAUUUUUAAUAAUUUAGUUCAGUUUUUGAAAAUCUCAAUCUGUUUGUCAUUCCUUUUUCUUCCUCCUCUUCUUCUUUUCAGGAGAAAUUUUCUUCUUCCCCAGGGAACAAUUAAGUGGAACAAUGCCCCUCUCCUUGGACUUCCUGCCAUCAGCUUAUAAAUAACUCCCACAUGUAACAUAACUAAGAGCUCAGAGGAAAGCAAUGACAGGGUCCUUUACUAUGGAUGAACCAUGUUCUGUUCCCAUGACAACAUAGAGUCAAAGGCAAAUAUGACAUGGUGAUGAUGCCCGUCGUCUUAAACUCUAGAAUACAGCUCUGGGACAGGACAGGCACCUGCUUCACUCUUGAAUGUGUGCCAGGGACCUGAGACUCCAAGGUCAAAGGUGAAAGAUGAAGACCAGACUUCAUCUGGACCAUAGUUAAAGUCACAACAAGGGACCACACAACUUCUCCCUCCUCUAAAUGAGGACACACCUUCAAGUUAGCCUCCAAACACCAAAACUGGAGUGACAAUCGGAAUGUUGGAGAAGGAGAUCAAGAGCCUAGCGGAACAGGUGGUCUCCAGAAUCGAGAAAGGCUGUAAUGUAAACCCUAUGCAAAGCCUCCCCGAGAAGCAGUGCCCUAUCUAUCUCGUCCUUUAACCUAAGGAUACAGUGCUAAGACACUGACCUACAGACAGACCCCUUAGGGAACAAAUCACAUUGUUUUAAGCAACUGAGAUUGCACACAUUUGUUCAGCAAUGGGAAACACACUUUUAUAUCUUUGCAAGUCUCCAAGACUCGGGAAGUUUCUUUAUGUAGAGUGCAUGAUACUCUGA